GAAAGCGUCGUGGUACGACGACGGCAAAACACACACGCCCAAAGCCCCCUGCGGAAGGCCCUGACAAGGUGCACAGCUCAGAGCUAUACCACCUUACGUACCAUGACGUGCUGCUGAACGAUGAUGCAGGCACACACACCCAAGGCGGAGCGCUCCCCCGACUGCCCCUGGUCAGAGCCACCACCUGCUGCUCGGAUGAUCCUUUAGCCUCCCACGACACACACACACACACACACACACACACGCACACACACACACACAGAGACAUACACACAGAGACACACACACACACACACACGCACCUACACACACACACACACACACACACGCACCUACACACACACACACACACACGCACCUACACACACACACACACACGCACACACACAGACAUACACACAGAGACACACACACACACACACACGCACCUACACACACACACACACGCACCUACACACACACACACACGCACCUACACACACACACACGCACCUACACACACACACACACACACACGCACCUACACACACACACAUUCACAAUCACACGCACCUACACACACACACACACAUUCACAAUCACACGCACCUACACACACACACAUUCACAAUCACACGCAGCACCCGAUGCAACCGCAUUCCGCUAAAAGCUCCUCUCACGCAGUCCUGGUGAUCACUUUCCAUCCAAAACACACACAUACAUACGUAUGCACAUACGUACAUACAUACGUGCGUACGUAGAGACCUCUCCAGAUCCUUAGAACACCUGGUGCUGCCACCUCGAGAUGGAGUACGGCCACCUGAACCGCUACUACAGCCUAGGUGUAUGCUGCUGUCCAUGUGUCCCUUCCCCUCCAUUUCCCCUGCACAUACCUACGCUACAUCCCGCGACACUGCUGCACCUUCCCCUUUCCUUUUCCUUUUCCUUUUCCCUGCACCUUCCCCUUUCCUUUUCCUUUU
rnacentral:lncRNA from 1 species